GAUGAACGCUAGCGGCAGGCUUAACACAUGCAAGUCGAGGGGCAGCGCGGGGCAGCAAUGUUCUGGCGGCGACCGGCGGAAGGGUGCGUAACGCGUGAGCGACAUGCCCGUUGCCCGGGGACAACCGGUGGAAACGCCGACUAAUCCCCGAUGGGACGGAGGCCCUCAUGGGUCUCCGUUGAAAGUUACGGCGGCGACGGAUUGGCUCGCGUCCGAUUAGCUUGUUGGCGGGGUAACGGCCCACCAAGGCUACGAUCGGUAGGGGUUCUGAGAGGAAGGUCCCCCACAAUGGAACUGAGACACGGUCCAUACUCCUACGGGAGGCAGCAGUGAGGAAUAUUGGUCAAUGGGCGGAAGCCUGAACCAGCCAUGCCGCGUGCGGGAAGGAGGCCCUAUGGGCUGUGAACCGCUUUUGCCUGGGGGCAAUAAGGGCGUCGUGCACGUCCGAUGAGAGUACCAGGCGAAUAAGCAUCGGCUAACUCCGUGCCAGCAGCCGCGGUAAUACGGGGGAUGCGAGCGUUAUCCGGAUUCAUUGGGUUUAAAGGGUGCGUAGGCUGUGCGUCAAGUCAGGGGUGAAAUUCCGGGGCUCAACUCCGGGGCUGCCCUUGAUACUGUCGCGCUGGAGUGCGGAUGCCGCCGGAGGAAUGAGUGGUGUAGCGGUGAAAUGCUUAGAUAUCACUCAGAACACCGAUUGCGAAGGCAUCUGGCGAAUCCGUAACUGACGCUGAGGCACGAAAGCGUGGGGAUAGAACAGGAUUAGAUACCCUGGUAUUCCACGCCGUAAACGAUGAUGGCUAACCGCCGGCGACACACUGUCGGUGGCCAAGCGAAAGCGAUAAGCCAUCCACCUGGGGAGUACGUCGGCAACGAUGC
rnacentral:rRNA from 1 species